CUACGGAGGGGGCUAGCGUUGUUCGGAAUUACUGGGCGUAAAGCGCGCGUAGGCGGAUUGAUCAGUCAGGGGUGAAAUCCCGGAGCUUAACUCCGGAACUGCCUUUGAUACUGUCAAUCUUGAGUUCGAGAGAGGUGUGUGGAAUUCCUAGUGUAGAGGUGAAAUUCGUAGAUAUUAGGAAGAACACCAGUGGCGAAGGCGGCUCACUGGCUCGAUACUGACGCUGAGGUGCGAAAGCGUGGGGAGCAAACAGGAUUAGAAACCCUAGUAGUCC
rnacentral:rRNA from 1 species